rnacentral:rRNA from 1 species
GAGGUGACAUUUGCUAGUCCCUCGGGAUUACAUUUGACUCGCUGAAGUUGACCGAACUUGAUGAUUUAGAGGAAGUAAAAGUCGUAACAAGGUUUCCGUAGGUGAACCUGCGGAAGGAUCAUUACUGUUCGAUCAUCGAUCACAUCAUCGAUACGACACAGCGUGCGAGAGAGACACAGUGUGUGUGUGUGGUCUGGAACCACCCGACACACGCGUUGGUAGUGUACUGCACAAAAGUGUGUUCACACAUGUGUGAAGUGUGUGAAUUGCAUUGCGUGUGUGUAAUGUGCACAGCAGCAAGCAGCAAGCAAGAGGUUGUUGUUUAUAUUUGCGUUACGUUUGUUUGACACUCUCGUUUUUGAUACAAUCAUUCUAGUGUAAAACCCUAGGCAGGGGAUCACUCGGCUCGUGGAUCGAUGAAGACCGCAGCUAAAUGCGCGUCAGAAUGUGAACUGCAGGACACAUGAACACCGACAAGUUGAACGCAUAUUGCACAUCGUACAUCACGUACGAUGUACACAUUUUUGAGUGCCUAUAUUUAACCAUUUAACUAUUACGGGCCCCCCCGCCCGUAAUGCGUAGUGAUGUUUUCCUAGCACAACGCAACGCAACGCGCUGGUAAAACAUUUAAGUGUAAGUGGUCUCUUCUCCUCCCGUCCGUCCGACCGACGUCGAGAGAAUAGAGAAGAUGAUGAGUACAUCCCAGCGAGCGAGCGAGCAAGCAAGCUGUUGUACACCAUCACCUCCAUGUAUGUAUAUAAAAGUAGGCCUCAAAUAAUGUGUGA